rnacentral:rRNA from 1 species
AUUGAACGCUGGCGGCAUGCCUAACACAUGCAAGUCGAACGGAAGUGAAGGGGCAACUCUUUACUUUAGUGGCGGACGGGUGAGGAAUGCGUAGGAAUCUGCCUUAAAGUGGGGGAUAACUCGGGGAAACUCGAGCUAAUACCGCAUGUGCUCUACGGAGCAAAGGGGGCGCAAGCUCUCGCUUUAAGAUGAGCCUACGUCGGAUUAGCUAGUUGGUAGGGUAAUGGCCUACCAAGGCUUUGAUCCGUAGCUGGUCUGAGAGGAUGACCAGCCACACUGGGACUGAGAUACGGCCCAGACUCCUACGGGAGGCAG